UGCACUUCUGCAUGAGAUUUUUCGCGCCGGUCUACGCCACCUUAAGUGUUUCUGCAGAAUGCCGUCUACGUCCAGCACAACUUAACCAGGAUUUGGAUGCAGUGUAAAGAGUGCAAGUUUUCCCACCCAAAUCAAGAUGUCCUCUUAAAGCACUACAGGCUUGGACAUUACCAGGGGAGAUUAUGGCCACUCCCGUGCCUGCAUACAGACUGCAUCUGCACUUUCAAGACAACUGGUGCAUUGAAAUCCCAUCUUUCAAGAGUACAUAAACAGCCUGGAAAGCCUGAAGUGCAGCUCACAUUGUGUUGUGAAUUGUGUGACUUUAAAGACCUCUGUGCGCCAGCAAAAUACAUAGGCCAUCUCAGGGCUCAUUUAAAGCAGCAUGUGACUGUUUGUUGUCCAUUCAAAAACUGUGAAUUUACCAGUAAUGUCCUUUCGUCCUUCAGUAGUCAUAAGCAGAUGCAGAACUGCCUGCAGAGGAGAAUGAUCCACAGCCUUGCAGGAAGAAACAAAGAAAAGACAUCCCAACAACGCUCUCAUUGACUCCAAAAUGGAAGUGACUUUUUCUCUGCGGAGGAAGGAAAUAGUGGAUGAAGAACCACUUGUUGCCGAUGUCAUGGAGAGGUGGCCUGGGUUGUUUUUGCAAGAACAGUUUUUUUUUUUUCUAACAACAUAUUUUGCCAAAUGUUCUCCCUUCUUUUGAAAGAACCAACAACAAAGGUUUGAAUCAAUUGUACAUAACAUGUACAUGAAAACUGUCACCUUUCUUAGAUCUGUGCAGAAUUCUUCAGACUUACACGAGUGGACCUGAAGAAGACCUUCCUGUCAUCAUUGGAUGCACACGCAUCGCAACUUAUGAAGCUGUACAGAUCACGCAGCACAUCGCUUGGAAAGGACAUGAGGAUCCUUCUAGACAACUUUGAUGAACAGACGAAUGAUGUCCUUGCCCACAGAAAGUGUACAGCUCUGCGAGGUCUACCUUUCGUUGUGAAGGAGAAGCCGGACGGCUUGCUGAAGACAUGUCUGAAUACAGACCCGGAGGAAUCUUACGUGAAAGGAGUUGAACUGGGAAUACUCACAGUUGUUGAAGAUGACAUUGGGACGGUCCGCUCAAGUCCAACAACACUAAGCAUCGCCGUGAUUAUUGAGGAACGGAUUGUGCUGGAUGAUAUAUGCGACAUCUCAACUGCAUUUGCCCUUUUGUUUGGACUCAUCUAUGCUCAACCUGGAGUGUCCGAAGGACUUGAGGUACACUUUCGAAGUAAUUCAAAAGUAGUUCAUGAACCUUGGUACCCAGUGCUCUGCCUGGGUUCAGGCCUUAAAAAACAGUUUGCUCAAGUAGCCUGCCAUAUUUAAACCCCGCCUAUGGUCUUGGCUGGAUUUUGAGGGGGGUAAGAGUUCCAAAAGGUUUCUGAAGGCCAAUGUACAGGUUGCAGUUGUAUUGCUACAGACAAUAUGUUUUUGAUGUCCAUCCAUUGUAAAAGCAAUAUAUGACAAAUUGUCCCACUGUUGAUAGGAUACAGUGCCCAUAACAAUAAACUGAUAUUGGAAUCAGCAUUGUUGCUGUGUAUGCUCAAGAAAGCAUAACUUGUACAAAAUUGUUGUUUUUUGCAUCUUAACAGUUCUUGUUGGAUAUAUAUAUAUAUAUACAUAUACAUAUUGCAGUUUUAAACGGUAGAUGGAUGGAUAGAUGCAUGGAUAAGAUAGGUUUUUAAGCCAUUUUAUACCUCCCACCAAUCUUUACGGUGGGGUCAAGCCGGCCUGACUAGACAGUCUAGUGUUACAACAAAAUCAAAACAUUGUUCCUGAAUAAAACCGCAACCUGCACCAAAACCAUCCUCAAGCAGCACAGUUUCAAGGGAAUGCCAUUGUCCUUCUGUGUUGUAUAUAUGUUCCAUCAUAUACCAUGUUCCAAAGCUUGUUUCAAGGCCUUGAUUUUGGAUUCACAAAACAGAAUUUUUCAUUUUUUUUCUUUAUGCAGCCAUUUUGAUUUUUACGGAUGUUGACCCUCUGCUGUCUGUUAAAGUGUUGACACCUGGAAUUCAUAUAGUUAUGCAAACAAAUGUUUAGUUAUUGUUAAUAAAC